GACGAACGCUGGCGGCGUGCUUAACACAUGCAAGUCGAACGGAAAGGCCCUGCUUUUGUGGGGUGCUCGAGUGGCGAACGGGUGAGUAACACGUGAGUAACCUGCCCUUGACUUUGGGAUAACUUCAGGAAACUGGGGCUAAUACCGGAUAGGAGCUCCUGCUGCAUGGUGGGGGUUGGAAAGUUUCGGCGGUUGGGGAUGGACUCGCGGCUUAUCAGCUUGUUGGUGGGGUAGUGGCUUACCAAGGCUUUGACGGGUAGCCGGCCUGAGAGGGUGACCGGCCACAUUGGGACUGAGAUACGGCCCAGACUCCUACGGGAGGCAGCAGUGGGGAAUAUUGCACAAUGGGCGGAAGCCUGAUGCAGCAACGCCGCGUGCGGGAUGACGGCCUUCGGGUUGUAAACCGCUUUCGCCUGUGACGAAGCGUGAGUGACGGUAAUGGGUAAAGAAGCACCGGCUAACUACGUGCCAGCAGCCGCGGUGAUACGUAGGGUGCGAGCGUUGUCCGGAUUUAUUGGGCGUAAAGGGCUCGUAGGUGGUUGAUCGCGUCGGAAGUGUAAUCUUGGGGCUUAACCCUGAGCGUGCUUUCGAUACGGGUUGACUUGAGGAAGGUAGGGGAGAAUGGAAUUCCUGGUGGAGCGGUGGAAUGCGCAGAUAUCAGGAGGAACACCAGUGGCGAAGGCGGUUCUCUGGGCCUUUCCUGACGCUGAGGAGCGAAAGCGUGGGGAGCGAACAGGCUUAGAUACCCUGGUAGUCCACGCUGUAAACGGUGGGUACUAGGUGUGGGGUCCAUUCCACGGGUUCCGUGCCGUAGCUAACGCUUUAAGUACCCCGCCUGGGGAGUACGGCCGCAAGGCUAAAACUCAAAGGAAUUGACGGGGCCCCGCACAAGCGGCGGAGCAUGCGGAUUAAUUCGAUGCAACGCGUAGAACCUUACCUGGGUUUGACAUGGAUCGGGAGUGCUCAGAGAUGGGUGUGCCUCUUUUGGGGUCGGUUCACAGGUGGUGCAUGCCUGUCGUCAGCUCGUGUCGUGAGAUGUUGGGUUAAGUCCCGCAACGAGCGCAACCCUUGUUCACUGUUGCCAGCACGUUAUGGUGGGGACUCAGUGGAGACCGCCGGGGUCAACUCGGAGGAAGGUGGGGAUGACGUCAAGUCAUCAUGCCCCUUAUGUCCAGGGCUUCACGCAUGCUACAAUGGCUGGUACAGAGAGUGGCGAGCCUGUGAGGGUGAGCGAAUCUCGGAAAGCCGGUCUCAGUUCGGAUUGGGGUCUGCAACUCGACCUCAUGAAGUCGGAGUCGCUAGUAAUCGCAGAUCAGCAACGCUGCGGUGAAAAAGUUCCCGGGGCU
rnacentral:rRNA from 1 species